CUAGGGGGCAAGUCUCCCUGGGUUCCAAGAAGCUGUUGCUCCUUGAAUUCACGAUCUGAGGAAGGUCGGGUUAAAAAGGGUUAAAAAUUCAUAUGUGGCUUUAUUAAAAUCAAGCACAAGAAAGGAGUGUCUUGGUUAGCACAUUUUUUGAGGAAAGAAAAAGCAGCGAAACAAGAGAAAUCAGAAGCUAGCCUUCUACCAUCUGCCGCGGAUGGGAGCUCAUUAGCGUCUUCCCGGAGGCUGAUUGUAGCCGCCAGCACCGCCACCUAAUGAAGGAGCCGCCACGCCCAGUGCCAACCUGAGCCUGCUCUGCGGCUCGCCUUGAUGGCUCGCUGCUGAUUCCUCCUUCAGACUAAAGAAUCUCAAGCCAGACAGAAGCUCCUGUGAGGCACUGAGAGAGUUAGCAUUUCCUAAGGCGUCUGCUCCAGGCUUUGAGAACAAUGGAGACUCUGGCCCAGCUAGCCGAGAAUAACACUUCAAACCCACAUUUGCUGCUGGAUCUGGGCCUCCUGGGCCUGCUCCCUCUACCCUAAUCAAAAGCUGCAUGCUGUGGAGCUUAGAAAAGCUGGGCUGUCAGAUCUGAGGUGUAGGAAGAGCAUAGCCUCCCUCCUACCUUGCUUCCUUUAAGGCAAGUAGGUCAUGCAAGAAUGUCCUCACACGGCUCCAGUCCCGUGGCUGGCUGAAGGACUUUGUGCUUUUGGAUCAGAAUAUCACAGGGCUGGGGAAGGACCCAGGAGAGAGUCUCUGAACAAAGAAAAGGCACCAAAAAGCCCAGUUCUGCAUUCUUGGUGACUACUGCGGCUUCCUCCCCUGAAGUGGCCAGCAACUUAGUCCCUGCCGAAGCGCUCAACUAUUGACCACACUUGGUCACAAACCCAGCUUGUGGUGGACACAUCAUCACCCCUCGUCUACAACCUAUAAAACCUCCCUGCUUUAGUUUGGGGGUGGGACUUCUCUGGCCUCCAUCUUUGGGACCAGAGAACCUGCCCAGGAGUUGCUUUCAAUAAACCUGUUGUUAUACUUUUUCAAUUCAGCUUGAUCUGGCUUGUUGUGUCAGUGGAGAAACUUACUAUCAGGAGGCAGAAAACCUAUUAAAAAUAUAUAAUUAUAUCAUAUAAUAUAAUUAGUAUGAUAAAUUAAAUAUAAAAAUACAUUUAAAAUUUUUUCAUUAAAUUUAUUAAUUUUAUUAAAUUUUACAAAUUUAAUAAAACUAAGUUUUUAUUCACUUUGCAAUUAAUCCCUCAUUGUAGCUUGUCAGAUCCGCCUCCACGAUGUGCCCUCUGUGCAGGUCAUCUUUGUGGUCCCCACAGCCUAGGCUGCCAUCAGCUUGCAGUCCUUAGCCCGAAUCACCAAUGGAUCUUUUUGCCUCUGCCCUCACUUCCUGGCUAAUCUAUCGUUCUCACCUCUGCUUAAAAUCCUCCACGAUGGGCUGGGGAGAUGACUCAUAAGAUACCCGCCAUGCAAGGACGGGAAUCAGAGCUCAGGACCCCAGCACCCAAGUACAACUGGACGGAGUCGGAGAGGCUGCACUCCCAGUGCUCCUGUGAGGAGAUGGACAGGAGAGACAAGAGAGGUAAUUCCCUAAGGCUCAAGGGCCAGCAGUGGGGGACAGCUAGAGACCCACGCCAAUCGUGCAAGUCGAGGCCCAACACCAGAGAGAGGUUAACCUCUUACCUCUGGUAGCGAGCACAUACCCCGGUUACGGGGGAGGAAUAAUCACUCUUGAUUCAGACUUGAUAUAACAUUUAUUCACACAGUAAGAUUACAAGCAAUAUUUAUCCCGUCUUCCAAAUGGAGGCGGGAGUACCUCUCCGGGUAUACAGGUCCGGACUCGCCACAUCUGUUCCUCUGGAUCUUGGGUCAGCCUUCCUCAGGUCAGCCAUGUCUGCACUGGGGACAGGAUCUCACGUCUCUGGCAGAGGAGAGUCGUCUCAUGAGAGGGCCUGACGAGCUCUGUUGGUCGGGUCUGAGGCUUCAUCUUUUAUAUCCCUUUCUGGCUAGGUUUCUAGUCCUAUCCCUACUUCCACACAUAGCUUAUAGGUUAUCACUACUCCAUUUGUGGUUUUCUUACGUCAUUCUAUUGCUUAUCACUCCUGACCAGGGCUGUUCACCCUAGGUCUUACAUGUUCCUUACACCUCUAUAGCUACAUUGUGUGCCUGUGUUCAUAUAUACACACCAACACACACACACACACACACACACACACACACACACACACACACACACACACACAGAGAGAGAGAGAAAGAGGGGGGGGGGCUUAAAGCAAACCUCCCUCUUCCCUGCCUCCCACCACAACUCCAGGGAAGACCCAGGCCGCUUUCUAUACAGUCCUACUUGGCCUUUGACCUUCGUCUCCUCAUCCAGGCUCUCCCAGCUGCCUCACCUCUUUGUCCCAGGACAGAGCAUCUUAUGUCUCAUUCCCCGCGGGGUCUCCAGAGCCUAGAAUAGGGCCCGGUACAUGGAAAACCGCAGACUCUCUGCAUCUGUUCUUUAGUUCAGUGACUGACUGUGCCAGCCUCGUGCCCCUUUCUCUCCCCAGACCGCCAGGCUUCGGCUUCUGUUGGCGGACCUCCUGUUCCAGCACUCUCCUCCAGCUGUGCACAGCCACGCCUUGCUGGCCUUUCAGGUGCUCACUCAGCUGUUAGUCCCCAGGGAGGCCCCCCUUCCCGACAGCGACGGCAGAAGCACCCCCGGCCCCAUGCUCCUCUACGAGGCUCUAGAUUCCACAGUACGACCGCACACAUCUGAAGGAGGUCGGGCACACGAAUGCAGGCAGUGGCCUGGUGACAGCAGCCAAGGCCAUCAAGAAGAGACCAGACAUGCACCGAUGUGCUCUUUUCCAUUUGUACAUCGAAAAGCCACCCAGCAAGAAGAGCUUCUGUGCUGAUUGCCCAGGUUGGAUGACGCUCAUGGGCAGUAUGUUGAUCAAAGGUAGCCGCUCUCAGAAAGAGGACACACUGCGUGAGUCUAUCUAUAUGAAAUUCAGAAUAAAGCGAACCAGUCCUAGGUGUGCCCAGUGCCCUUCCCGGAGCUACUCAUGGCCUAAGGGUUUCUCCAUGUGGUUUUGGUGCCUGUCCUGGAUCUCGCUCUGUAGACCAGGCUGGCCUCGAACUCAGAGAUCUGCCUGGCUCUGCCUCCCGAGUGCAGGGAUUAAAGGCGUGCACCACCACUGCUGCUGGGUGAUAAAUCUUUUCUUAAGCCAUAAGUCCUGGUCCUCAGGGUUGCACUGGCCAAGGGCGUUCCUCCAUCCAGUGGUAGGAGACGAACCUUGGGGGCCCUUUUCACUUCAUCUAAGACCAUGGCAAGAGCACACAAAACAGGAAGAGGCCUGUGAGGUAUGUAUGUAUUGAAUAGCCCGAAGAUCAAUCAAAGCUCCCGAGGCAACACACAGAAGGACAAAGGCCUUCUUCAGCCCUCGCCCGGAAGCAGCUCUGCAGCCAUGUCCCAUGUCAUUCAUCUGUCUUGUUGCAACAAUGACUUUAGCUGGUUGGAAAACAUGAAGAUUAAAAUGAACUACUCAGUGUAAAGCCAGGACUUGGUGAAACCUACAGUUAUCCAAAUUAGAAAAAAAUGUGUAAUGACAGGGCCAUAGGAAUGGGCUAUGUUGGGGAGGGGGGGCUCUGGGGGCUGCAGACACGCACCGAGGAGCUGUUUGGGGAUGCUGUUCAUUAAGUCACUCGUGUGUGGUACUUACAAUGUGUGCUCUCCUCAGAUAUCCCUCCUUCAAACUGAUGGAGAAAAGAGUUGAUAGAAGUUGGAAAUGUCUCUUCUUGUUCUUAGCAUCUAGUUUCCAGAGGAGAACCUGCAGGUGUGAUUCAGGAGUGGGUGAGGACCACCGAGGAAUCCUUGUGUACUGCCAGUCAUUUUUUUCCCUUUCUUUUUGUUUUGUUUUGUUUGUUUUUGAGGCAGGGUUUCUCUGUGUAACAGCCCUGGCUGCCCUGGAACUCACACUAUAGACCAGGCUGGCCUUGAACCCACAGAGACCUGCCUGCCUCUGCCUCCUGAGUGCUGAGAUUAAAGGUGUGCACCACCACUGCCUGGCUCUUUUGUUUGUUUAGUUGGUUAGCUAAAAAAAUGAUGGGUUCUGCAAGCAUUUCCUCAACCCAAAGAUAGCCAAGUAAAGGAGAUGAGAGAAGGUGAAAGUAUGAAAAAAUGGAAACUUGGAUUUCAGUUUGUAUUUGAAAUGCUAAGUAUGUGCACACCUGGAGGAAACACCAUCCUUGGAAGAUGUCCCUGAGUGUCAAGAGUUAACACACAAGAUGGGUUUCUGUGGGCAUGACAGGGCUUCAGGAUAAACUUCAGAGAAUCUGCAGCUCCAUCUGGGCUGCUAAGAGACAUCUCCUGGCAUCAUCCUGGCAGAUCACCUCACCACCAGCAGAGGUUGAAGGACUAGAAGCUAAGAGAUCAAAUCUUAACAGACAGGAGAUGGUUGGAGCAGUGAUGCUGACCAUGAACUGCCAACCGAGGUGAAGUGUGAGUGGUCUUCUGUCAGGUGAAUGAUGCCAGCGGCUUUCUCCAGGCUACCCUGGGUCCAAGAGCAAGCAGGUUUGUUCCUCAGCCAUGUGAUGGGCUAACAAGGCAGAGUUACGGAUGCCCGAUGGCUGGAGAAGGAAGUGGAUGCCCGGAUGGCUGGAAAAGGAAGCGGUGUCUGAGGCUAAGGAGGAGCUUUGGGUAGAAAGAAAGGAAACAGAGAUAAGAGGUCAUGAGAGACCCCACUGUGGUGCUUCCCGUCCCCCCUCAGCUUCAUGGAGUCCCCUGGGGGCCUGAGGUCAUGUGGUGCUCAGGGCUCCAAAAAGCUCUGAUGGAGUGUCUGCUGGGUGGGCUGGGCCUCUCAGGAGCCCUUAAAGGAUGGUCAAGGACCUGAGCCACUUGGCUAGGCAGGAAGUAUAGGAGGGACAAGGAGGAGAAUAAAGCUGGGUAGUGGAAGGCUGAGUCGGAGAGACACUGCCAGCAGCUAUGAUGAGAAACAGCAUGUGAAGAUGCCGGUAAGCCACGAGCCAUGUGGCAAGGUAUAGAUUAAUGGAAAUGGAUUAAUUUAAGCUGUAAGAACAGUUAGCAAGAAGCCUGCCACGGCCAUACAGUUUGUAAGCAAUAUAAGUCUCUGUGUUUACUUGGUCGGGUCUGAGCGGCUGUGGGACUGGCGGGUGAGAGAGAUUUGUCCUGACUAUGGGCCAGGCAGGAAAACUCAAGCUACACCAGGACUCUAUCAGUCCUCAAGGCUUACUUCUAGCAACAAUCCCUGAUUCAAUGACCCAUCCGGACAUGAUCAGUCAUCAGCUAUUUCCUUUGUUGCUGUCCUUUUAAUUUGUAUUGAAUUCCUGCCAUUUUCUGCCAAAAGAAAUCUAUUAAACACAAAAGCCGUUCUGCCGAUAUCUCCAGCCCCAGUCCAGCCCCGGUGAUCUUCCAGCACUGUUGGAAGUUCCAGCACUGUUUCUGCUACCUCAUUAAAGUCCUCCUGCUCGGCAGAAGUGACCAGCCACAGAGCACACACCUGAGGGGAGCAAGCCCCUGUCUCUUCCAUAAAAAGACAGAAAGUAAUUACUUGUGCUAGAUUAUACUAUCUAGAGAUUUCAUUUCUCUGUAGUGAAGAGAAAGGAGACUUUUGCAUUAGAAGCAGUUGAGACAGUGAGGCGGCACAUGUCGACAGGUCCAGUUUCUCAGGAGGGUGGCAGAGGAGGGCUGCCCGAGCCCGGGAGUCUUAUCCAGGAUGAAGAAAGCAGCGUGACCCUCUGCCAGAGUGUAUUAACUACUGAGGAAAAGAUUGGCAAUAAGCCAGACAGAAAUUGUUACUGUGUGGUGCAAAGGUCUACCUUUUUGGGCUGAGAACAGAACCCACCUCCUGAUGCCUGCGCCUGGGUGGAGGAGAACAAGUACUAGGACACAGUUGUUGCUACACCAUCCACAGGCAGAAGAGAGAUUCUGGAUUCAGCAGGGACAGCUCUCCAGACUGGCACCUCAGAUCCAUGAUGGUGAGCUCAGGUUGGGCCAUUUCUAGUCACUGCAGAGGCAGGAAGCUGUG